UUUGUUUCCCUGUGUUGGCUGGGAUUGGCUCCAGCAGACCCCCAUGACUCUGUAGUUAGGAAAUAGCAGGUUCGAUAAUGGGUGGAUGUAUGGACUAAUAAAAGUUAGGGACAAGCUUCUAAUAAUGGCUGAACAGGACCGUUGGCUGCAUGUACAAGCAAAUGCUAGAUAAGAGUGGAAAAACAGAUAAGUGCCGAUUUUGCCAAACCGAGAUGGAAACAAGUCACUAAUCGGAUUGCCGGAUGUGAGGUCCUGAUGGAGGAAAGGCUUACACACGCGAUGAUACAAUAACGUUGCCAGACCAACGCAUUGGAAAAUAUACAAAAAAUAUAACUUGCCAGCACCACAGAUGUAACAAAUAACCGAAAACGAGGAGGUGUUGGUCACUUGGGACAGAAAGAGAGAUGAAAGGAAACGAGACGUAGCUGUCAAAGAGAAAAACAGUCUGAUAAAGCAGGAGCCGAGCGAUUAGAGUGCUCAGAAUAGAAAGACCAAAAAAAUAAUAAUAACCAAAUGUCCAGAAAUGCAAUUGGAGGAUGAGCCAGAUGUGGAGUAAAACUAGCGAGAUUGUGCGAGUGUUGCCGCGGUGAACAGGCCGUACCUCGAAAAAUAAAAUGAAGGACGAAUUCUGAAAGAGGACUUGUGAGGAUUCUCAAGAACACAAUAAAGAAGCAACACGGAUAACCAAACUACAGACAGAAACAGAAAUCAUCCAACUACAAGAAAUGUCCCGGACUGAGGUGAGAAACGCACGGAGGACCGGAAGGCUCCAGAUGGUCCCGGCGCAGCAUCAACCCUCUGGUGGAGCACCAGUCAUUCUUGUAUUAUGGUCAAGUCAGGGUUCCUUGCUUGGCUCCUGCUUAAAGUGCUUCAUUAUGAUUUUAAUUGUUUUCCGUUACAGAUACGCUCACCAGCCACUUUAUUAGGUACACCUGCUUGUUAUCUAAUCAGCCAAUCACACGGCAGCACAUAGUCAAGACGGCAUCAACAUGGGGAAAAGAAAGGGGAUUGAAGGGACUUUGACACAUGGCAUGGUUGUUAGUGCCAGACUUGGCUGGUCUGAGGAUUUCGGAAACUGCUCAUCUGCUGGGAUUUUCAUGCACAGCCUUACGGAGAAUGGUCCGAAAAGCCAAAAUAUUCAAUGAGCGGCAGUUCUCUGGGUGAAAGUGCCUUGUUGAUGCCAGAGGUCAGAGAAGAAUGGCCAGAGUGGUUCGAGCUGAUAGAAAGGCAACGGUAACUCAAAUAAGUACUCGUCAUGUAGAAGAGCAUCUCUGAACACACCUUGAAGCAGGAGACCACACCGGGUGACACUCCUGUCGGCUGAAAACAGGCAUCUGAGCCAACAGUUCACACGGGCUCACCAGAACUGGACAACGGAAGACUGGGAAAAACAUUGCCAGGACUGACGAGUCUCGGUUUCUGCUGCAACAUUUGGAUGGUAGGGUCAGAACUUGGUGUGAACACCAGAAAAGCCUGGAUCCGUCCUACCUUGUGUUAAUGAUUCAGGCUGGUGGUGUUAUGGUUUGGGGGAUAUUUUCUUGGCACACUUUGAGCCCCUUAGUACCAACUGAGCAUCAUUUAAAUGACCACAGCCAACCUGAGUAUUGUCACUGACUAUGUUCACCCCUUUAUGACUGCAGUGUCCCUAUCUUCUGAUGGCUCCUUCAAGUAGGAUAACGUGCCAUGUCACAAAGCUCGGAUCAUCUCCAACUGGCUUCUUGAACAGGACAAUGGAGUUCACUGGACUCAAAUGGUCACCAGAUCUCAAUCCAGUAGACCACCUUUGAGAUGUGGUGGAACAGGAGAUUGGCAUCAUGGAUGUGCAGCAACUGUGUGAUGCUAGUAUGUCAAUAUGGACCAAAAUCACGGGGGAUUUUUUAUAGCGCCUUGUUGAGUCUAUGGUGUGAAGAAUUAUGGCAGUUCUGAAGGCAAGGUGUACCUAAUAAAAUGGCCGACAACAUUAACACUCACCAACAGUUCCUGAUAUACCCAAAGGUCAGGCUCUACUAAUCUUUUUCUGGUCCAGAGUUGGGAGACCCAUUGGUGAUUCAAAUCCUGCAGCAAACAAGGAAUGUUCUUCGUGCCGAACCUCGGUGAGCCUCAAGCAAGGAGAAUCCAUUGCUCAGGGACCAUGGAGGCAAAGGUCACGGCAAGAUGUGCAGACAUUCCCAGGUUUGAAGAAAUGGCUGACUUGGAGCAAAUAUUUCUACGCACCGCUAUCACUGAUCUCUUGCCUGACCUUCCGGAGGCCACAAAAGAUAUUCCAGAAGAGAACUUGCAGUCCUUUGGGGUGGAGACAUAUGAUGAUUUGAGGAAGCCGAUUUGCUGUCAGCGUUGAAGCCAGGAAAGUCCUUGCUGCUUGGAAGCGGAGAUGCCAGACUCCUGAAAGCAGCAGUUCUUCUGCUGGUGCCUCACCAGGACCUCCCGGAUCCUUAGUCUCCUUCACCCAGUUCAUCCUCUGUUACUGUAAGCACUUAAGGACAAUCCUGCUAUUUUUCAAGGCGGUUCAUGCUGAGUGUUGAUCGAAACAUUGUAAGCAACAACGUACCCUUCCUUCGUUUCUGCCCUGUGCAUGAUGUUUGGGAGCGAUUAUUGCUUCAACAUCCAUUACCCAUCGGAGCUGGCAUCAACUCUGGAGUUUCUGCAGGGGUGUCACUUUGACUUGGCUUUACCCAAUUUUUACACAAAAAUCUAAAAUAGCUGCUGCAUUUAACUUCGAGGUUAACCCAUCAUUGCACCUUCUUACUAUUA